rnacentral:tRNA from 1 species
GGGCCCGUAGCUCAACCGGCUAGAGCGCUCGACUGGUAACCGGGCGGUUGAGGGUUCGAGCCCCUCCGGGCCCA